rnacentral:rRNA from 1 species
AACGAACGCUGGCGGCAUGCCUAACACAUGCAAGUCGAACGAGACCUUCGGGUCUAGUGGCGCACGGGUGCGUAACGCGUGGGAACCUGCCCUUAGGUUCGGAAUAACUCCCCGAAAGGGGUGCUAAUACCGGAUAAUGUCUUCGGACCAAAGAUUUAUCGCCUUUGGAUGGGCCCGCGUUGGAUUAGCUAGUUGGUAGGGUAAAAGCCUACCAAGGCGACGAUCCAUAGCUGGUCUGAGAGGAUGAUCAGCCACACUGGGACUGAGACACGGCCCAGACUCCUACGGGAGGCAGCAGUGGGGAAUAUUGGACAAUGGGCGAAAGCCUGAUCCAGCAAUGCCGCGUGAGUGAUGAAGGCCUUAGGGUUGUAAAGCUCUUUUACCCGGGAUGAUAUUGACAAUACCGGGAGAAUAAGCUCCGGCUAACUCCGUG